AUGGAAUCAUCUCAUCAUCCGAUCUGUCUUCAUAACAUAACAACCCGUUACAAAGAGUCACCUUGGUCCAUCUCUUUGAGGGAGACUCUCCGCUUUCUGCUCCAGUUCACAGCCGAACCCAGAGUCCGUGGCACUGUGACCUGGAAAAGGCUCAGACAACGUUUACAUGUUCAUGUGCACUCACUCCACCGAGGCGAUGGGACACUGCCAUCGGUCUACUCAACAAUGGGUACCUUAGCAAUGGGACACAUGUAUCGACAUUGUAGUACCUGCCAUCUGCUCUCCGUUACCGUAGCGUUUACCUUCAUUACGCAAGCGGUGACCAGGAGAGAGGCGGGUUUGAGGCAGACGUCGGUGGGCAGCUGGCGCUGUUCGGGAGUGCGCCCGACACUGCGGGCGGUGUCGGGUUCAGCUCUGUGAUAAAUAAAGCCCAACCAUGAAACAUGCGACAUAACCCAGCAGCGAUUCUCUUGUCAACACAUUGACUACAACGCCAACUCAUUUGACACAUGGAAUUAAACGGAACAGAAACCAAAGAAAAAAAAUGCAAUUCAGCACACCUUUUGCCACAGACGUCAUCAGUGAGCCCACAGGCAACAUCCAAGUCUCGCGAGGCCUCGUCGGUUAGACCACGUCGGCUAGUCCGGUUCCUGAUUAGCAUGACGGCUCACAGGCCGAAAACUUCCUCAAAGUCCCGCUGUUGGAAAGCGAGAUAGUCGUCGUAAAUGGAGUCCAACGCCGUGGAAACGCUCGUCGGCGACAACGACUCCCCGUAAACGUCUACGGCGGUGUCGUAAACAGAGCGCGGUGAGAAUGAGUCACCGAGAGGCGACGACAUGUCUGCGUAGACGCGGGCCAUGAGGUACUGGGUGGUGUUCUCCGGCGCCAUGGCCCUCCUGUGUCCCCCUUCUUCCUCCCCCACUGGCCGGAGUCCCUUACCGGGUCUGGGCGUCGACGGCUUUCCCUUAUGGACGCAUCUGUGACCGGUCUUCACGGUCUUGUGUAACAUCUUGAAAGUGUCCUCCGUCGUCCUCGUUCGAAGCAUUUUCCACUUCAUCUUCGACACGAAUUUGUGUUUGGUCGAACAGUGUGUGGAGUUGGAGUCCAUGGUCUCAACACACAUUUCACGGGAACCGCUGAAGUGUUCAGAAAGUGUGCGGGCCGCGUCGACCGACUGCGUAGGAACAAACUCCAGCGUAAUACCAGACACCUUCAUAAACGCUAAACCCCGCUACAAAAAGCGUCUUGAUACAAAAAAAAUAUAUAUCAAGUUUUAUGUCGUGCGUUAGUGGUAAAUAUUAUCAAAAGUGUAUUUUGUAAUCUGCGCUCCGCCGCUUUGAGACCGUCCGGGUAGGUUUCUCCUGCAACGAUUAACGACGUUCAGCUUGCAACGUCCUAUAUUAGAAAGAAUACCCACAAUCCCCUUUUCUUAUUCCGGUCUAAACAUUCCUCCUACUACUGCCCCCUACCGGAGGGGAGACCUUACGUCCCAAUUGCUUUGAUGGAAUAAAAUGUUGAUUUGUGGGCAUGAUACAACCAUGACUUGUCAUGAGCUUUUUUCUGAUGCAAAGGAAUACAAUAAACAGGUGAUAUGAAGGAGUUUAAUAUGCAGGGGGAAAUUAUCCAAGUUCAAAACUUUUACCACAAAGGAAUACGAAACAAGAUGAGAAAGUGUAAUUUAGAUAGAAGCCAGAGGUCUGAGGCCAGAUGAGAGAGGAAUGAGACUCAAGGUCGAGGUGGGACACGGAGCCACAUAUGAGCUGCAGUCUAUGUUAGCAUGUAUCAGUCCUCAGGACAAAGUAGACGAAAGGUCCUGUGAGAAAGUCCUUUCCCCUCAAUAGGGACGGUCAUUAGUUCCCUAUCUCAGGCCACGGCUGCUUCUGCUGCAUCUAAACCAAAGUUAUGUCUGGAGAAGAUUAAUAUUGUACCAAU
ensembl:lncRNA